CGGAAAUCUAGGGAAUUAAUAAAUAUCCUUCGGAAUUAGAGAAGAUUAGGGCUGUUAGGAUUAAGUAUACGUAAUACAUAUACAAUUGGUUAUUAAAAAAUGUAUAAUACUGUAUAAUACUGUACCAAUAAAAUAAUUUUCAUUAGCUAUAAAAUGUAUGAAACUAUGUUUCAUGAUUUCACUUUCCAUGUAUCCAAGCUGGACAUAUAUAAUCGCUGUACGUGAAAAGUUUCACGUGAAAUGUGUGAAAAAUGAAAAAUAAAAAGUGAAAAAUGAAAAGUGAAAAAUUUCACGUAAAAUUACAUGAUUGACCCUCUGGUGUUUUCCAUCUAUGACACAGAGAGACACAGAACGACACUGCGAAACACAGCUCGAUCCUAAGUCUGGCCGUGUCGGACGUCAAUAGUGCUAACACAUCGAGCAAAAUUAUUUUUUUAAGUGUGAUACUAAUAAUUCGAACUAUAAAAAUUAUCAAUCUAUUACAUUGAAAAAUAAGGAAACUGAUAAAGUAUUGUCAUGAUUGCCUCAAGUAGAGAAUAUUUUAUUCUGCGAUCUGGACGAACGACGCUACAUUGGCGUUGCUAGCGUUGUAUGAAGCUAACAUGUAUAUGCUAGAUCAUCCUAAAAAAAAAUAUGGCUAGCUAUCGCAGAUGAUCUAAGAGAUUUCAACAUUGAGAUGUCAUCACAGCAAGUAAGAUGGAAAAUGAAUGCCUUAACAAACGAUACAAAGAAUGUAUUGACAGCAACAAUAAAACUGGAAGAGAUGCUGUUGAAUUUCAAUGGUUCGAUCAACUCGAUGAAAUUUUCGGGAAAAACAAAAAAAACAAUGUUAAAUCUUAUACUGUUUCAACGAAGUUGCCUUCCUAGAUGACAUCUAAGAAUAAAGAAUAUAACACAACAGCCACUAACGAACAGAGUAAAGAUAAAGGAAAGAAAAAAAAGGAUGUUGCAUGAAUGAUGUCUCAUUUUGAGGUGAAAAAUACAAAGCGUACGGUCCUUGAAGAGAUCUGCUCAUCAUCAAAUAUAGCUGCAAAUAAGCAAGUUAUUGAAGACGUAACAGCAACGAUGCAGCCCGAGACGUUAAAAAAGUUACGUCCAGCAUACGGAACUGCUUCAAACAUUGCAAAAAGUAAAAUUGAACUCGGAAAGCAGUGGCAUCAAUAUCUGCAAGAUAAAGUUAAAAGAGAGGUUAAAGAGAAACGGUACAACGACAUAAUGAAAAAGAGGGAAGAAUUACUACAAU